GACAGAGGGUGCAAACGUUGCUCGGAAUUACUGGGCGUAAAGCGCGUGUAGGCGGUUUCGCAAGUCAGGUGUGAAAGCCCAAGGCUCAACCUUGGAAGUGCACUUGAUACUACGGAGCUUGAGUACUGAAGAGGAGAGCGGAAUUCCCGGUGUAGAGGUGAAAUUCGUAGAUAUCGGGAGAAACACCAGUGGCGAAGGCGGCUCUCUGGGCAGAUACUGACACUGAGGUGCGAAAGCGUGGGGAGCAAACAGG
rnacentral:rRNA from 1 species